rnacentral:lncRNA from 1 species
AGUUUGAGGAAUACAAAUAUAAGGAGCAUCCCCAAAUCCCUCAGGAACCUACGGCACCUUGAGACCUUGGAUCUUAAGCAAACUCUGGUAAAAGAGCUACCCAAAGCAGUCUACAACUUGAUAAACUUCGCCACUUGCUGGUUUAUGCCUACAAUAUGGGAAGUGUUGUAACUUUUGACGCCGUUUAAGGGUUCGCUGUACCGAGAAAGAUCGGAGCAAUGAAGAACCUGCAAAAGCUAUCAUUUGUAAAGGCGAGAAGGCAGAACAGAAUGAUACAGGAGCUCAAAAAUCUGACAAAGCUGAGGAAGCUGGGCAUUGUAGAACUAGCAGAAGAAGAUGGCAACAGCUUGUGUCACUCAAUUGAGAAGAUGCCGGAUCUCCUUUCCUUGGAUGUUACCUCCCUUAGUAAGGGGGAGCCUCUGGAGCUUGAUCCAAUGGCCAACCCCCGCGUCUUCUUCAACGCCUGUAUCUCAAAGGGCACUUGCAAAGGUUGCAAAGUGGGUAUCUUCUCUUCAUGACCUGGUGAGAAUACGCCUAAAAUGGUCCUUAUUGUCCCAAGACAACCCAAUUGAAGCUCCUCAAGAUCUCCCAAACCUGAUGGAGCUGCAGUUACUUGAUGCAUACACUGGAACCCAGUUGGACUUCAACUCGGGAAAAUUUCAGAAGCUUAAGAUAUUAGACCUUGAGCAAUUGAAACAGCUGAGGUUUAUCAUAAUGGAAGAUGGCACAUUGCCUUGCCUACAAAAGCUGAUCAUAAGGCAAUGCAAUGAGCUGAAACAUGUCCCCGUAGGUAUUGACGGGCUCCAUCAUCUUAAUGAGCUGCACCUCUGCGAUAUGCCUGAGAAAUUCGUGGCCCAGCUGAAGAAAAGAGGCGGUGAACUUCGCCAUUUGCUUCACCGUUGUUUGCAUAUUCUCUCAUAUCAACAGGGCCGGUUGGUGGAAGAUCUUUCAUGACCAUAUCUGAUACAUCUGUGACAUGCACCAGUGGAUCAAGAAUCAGGUUUGUAUAACUACAUGGAUUCAUCGCUUGCUUCUUUUGGGUUCCUCAAAAUGCAUUGUUGUCAAUUACUUUACAAGCAAUAUUACUGCAUGUUCCUAGGAAAUCAUGGUGGGAUAUCUAGCAUUUAUACAUAUCAAGCAUCAAAUAUCUGUGGAGUCGUAUUUGAAACUGCCAUUGUUGAAACUACCCCGAGACUCGGUACAAGACAUAGUCGGAUUAUGGUCAGGUGUCAAGCCCCCGAGACUUCCAAUUGAUUUUUAUGCUUCUUGUAUUAAUAAUAGUGUUGGAUUGUAAGGACUGAAUUGUUUUUAUUGUGUUUGGCUUAAAAUGUCGGGAUCAAGUUCCACGUUAAGCUUGUGGGGAUAGCCAUGGACGUAGAAAACGAAUUGAUUAUCAAACCACUCUAAAAAUCUCCUCCUUCUUUUUUAUUUUAUUUUAUUUUUAUUUUUAUUUUUAUUUUCUAUUUGUGUAUGGUUUAAUUAAUUAACAAAUAAUGGCCCUAUGCCUACGUGAAAUUGACUUGUGAAUUUUUAAUAUUAUGUUUUUAUGAUUAUUUUAGAUGAUACUAAAUAUAAUAGUGAUUUGCUUUAAUUUUUAGUUUGUUGAAUGCAUUCUCAUCCAAUUGUAUUUAUAUAUUUUCUCUAAAAUUUUUAUUAUUUUAAAAUUAUUCUAUACUUUUUUAAUUAAUCAAGCAGUUUAUUGUGCCUACAGUCUGGUCUAAUUGAAUAAAAUAUGAUUUAUUAAUGUCAACUCAGCCCAAUCAAUUCUUUCACAGAGGAACAAUGGUUUAUUAAUGUGCAAAUUAAUAGCGUUUUAUAAAUAAAAUAUUCUUAAUUUCCUCUACAAAAACAAAUUAGUGUUAAAUAAACCGAUAAUAAUAUUUUUAUUGGGAUUUUUCAAUGGCAUUAUAAAGUCACCAAUCAAUUAAUAAAAAAUGGUCAUUGAAGUCACCAUGAUUUAUUUAUUUAUUUAUUUUUACCUCGAUAAUGAUCUUAAUUAUCGUUUUUUCUGGAUUAUUUGAGUAUUAAAUUUUUUACAAAAGUAACUUUUAAUCUUUUUUUUUACUUGAAAAUUUUUAUUAAAAAAAAUUCUAUAUAGGGCAUAUAAUUAAGAUUAGGUUUAUUAAUAAAUGAAAUGUUUUUCUUAGCUGCAAUCAUGUUGACCCAUAAAUUUGUAUGAGAAAAUUUGAAUUUCUUUAUUUUCUUUUACAUGACCCAAAGGUUAAUAUAAAUUGUCUUGAAGUAGCAGUAAAGUGAUCAUUUUAAGUACCACAAAUACUUGUGAUUUGGAAAUAAUCAAAGUCUUCCCAAUGGGGACGACCCUAGGUUCCAAUACAUUAGCACUGAUUUCUUUGAGUUGUAUAUGAUGCUUCUUUUCAUGUUAUUUACGACAUUGACUACGGGAAUCCCUUGCACACGCAAGUGGCAUUCAUUAAAAGUUAAGACCACUACUUUCAAGGUCCUAUGUCCAGCUUCUGAGUAACAACAGUAUGAUUGAGUUCAACAACAAAUUUGAGAAUUUUUUUUUUAACCCAAAGUGGGUUUGGGUACAAUGUUGUCCCAUCGAAAUGAUAAAAAUAUCGAUAAUAACGGAUAUAUUAGUAUUUCGAUUUUAUAGAUAUAUUGAAGAUAUAUGUUGGAUAUUUAAAAAAAAAAUAUCGAUAGACUUAAAAUUGAUCAAAAUUCAUAAAAAUGUUAAAAAAAAUCACGUAUAAAUAUAAUUAAAAGUAUAACAAACAUUUUAAAAUUAUUUUAUUGAAAAAUUUAAUUUAUGUAUAAUAUGAUUUGUCAUAUUUGAUAAUAAUAUCAUAUGCGUCGAUAAAAAAAUAUGAAUUUUAUAAGUGUACAUUUAUUAUUAAAUUGCAUAAAAUAUUAUUGCAUAAUAAUAUUAUGAUAUUUGAUUAUAAUAUAUUUAAUUUUAAAAUAUAUUUAAUAUUAAAAUUGUGAUCCAUUUAAUUCAAUUAUAUUAAAUAAUAUAAAAUAAAUGAUGAUAUAUAUACCGUUGUGAUAUUUAAUAAUAAUUUUUAUAACUUGAAAACAUACUUUAUGUAUAUUAAUCUAAUUUGGAUGUAUUUAAUGACAAAAAAAUAAUGAUAAUUUGUAUAAGUAUUUUUUAUUUUAAAAUUUUGACAAUUUUAUUCAAAAAUAUAUAUUUAUUUUAUAUGUAAUUAUUAUAUAAAAGUCACAAUAACUAAAAUUAAUUCAUUUAGAAUAUUUUUUUUAUUAAUUUAUAAUAUAUAUGUAUAUAUUAUAAAUUAAUCUUGAAAGAUGGUUGUCCGGCAGGUGUUGGUGCCUUGGUGGGCGAUCUAUAUAAAUAAUAUGUAAAUUUAAUCAACAACAGCAUGGUUGCCUGGCUGGUGUUGGUGGGCGAGCGUGAGCCUGAGGGUCGUUCGAAUAUCCUUGGUUCCAUUCUUCUUGAUUUACCUUUGCCUUUCAAAAAUUCUAAUUCUUGCAAUCCCACAUCGGUUCAUGACACCAAAAAGGUGUAUUUAAACAUUGGAGUGGUGGAGGUCUCACUUGUGUUCAGAGCACGUUGGGCCCAAGCUGCAUUUUGGGCCUAAACAUUGGGCCAGGGCCAAAAUUAAGAGUUUUAGGGGCAAAAGGAAUUGAGAAUGAUGACGUGGCAGCGAUAUCGUGAAAAUAUCGAGAAAAAUGGCGAUUUUAAUGGAAAUAUCGCCGAUAUUUCCUCUAUAAGGUUAUAUUUAAUAUUAAAUAAAAAUGAUUUUAAUUAAUUUUUGACUUUUUUUAACAUAUAUAAAAUAUUAUUUUUUUAUAAAAAUAAAUUAUAAAUAUUUAUAAUAUUUAUUUAUUUGUAAACUAUAUUUAUUUUUAAUACAAUUUAAAAGUAAAAAAUUAAAAAAUAAAUAAAUAAACAGAUAUGGUGAAUAUGAUAAUCGUUGAUUUUCAUGAUUCUUAGUAAAAAUAAAAGAAAAUAAAAACGAAAAAAAGAAGAAGAAAAACAUAUAGAUUUAAUGUGUUCAAUAGAUUACGUACACGGAAUAGGGAAUAAAACUUUCAUUAUCUUUGAAAUUAGGGUUAUAUAUUAAAAUUUUAUUAUUAUCAUUAUCAUUUAUAUUUUAUUUUAUUUUUAAAUAAAUUUAUAUUUUUAAUAUUUUAAAAUAAAAACAUUCAAAUUAAAAAGAUAAAUAUAAAAAAUUUAAAAGUGAAGUAGUAAUUUUUUAGAAUGGAAUUAAUGAAAUAGAUUAUGAUUUUUUUAAUAUUUAUAUUUUUUAUAUUUAAUUAUCAUAUAAAUAAUAUAAAAAAGACUUAUUAAAAAAUUAUAAUAUUAAAAUUUUAUAUUUUUAUUAAUCAAUUAAAUAUAAUUUAAAAUAAAAUAAUUAAAAUUAAGUUUUUUUAAUGAUGAAGCUUAACAAAUUUAAAUUGAAUAUAUAUUAUCAAAGAGCAUCAUAAUGGUAAAUAUUCGAUAUUUCCCAUAGUGAUUUAAUCCAAAUAAAGAAGGAUAAUUAAUAAUUAUUUAUAUAGAGAGAGGAAAAUUGUUUCAUGAUUUGUUUUUUUUUUUUUUAUCUCUACUAAAUAUAAAAAUCAACCCAAUUCUCUCACUCGGGAAGGCCCUAUUUUCCUCUGCCACUGUCAAUCCUCGCAGGUACUAAUCUAAUCAUGUUAUUAUUAUUAUUAUUAUUAUUAUUAUUAUUAUUAUUUUUGCAACCCCGUUUGAUCCCCAAGAAAAUCCAUCCCCCAUUCGAUUUCCGGGAAAAUUCAUCCUCGUUUGAUUUCCGAGAAAAUCCAUGCAAAACCCCCCAAAGAAAUCCAAAAAAAUUGCUUUUUCUUUGCUCCCUGUGUUUUCUGGAUCUGUUCUAGGGGUCUCUUUGCUUUUGUGCCAUUGGAUUUAAAUUUCACGAAGCCUAAAUCCACGAUUUUUGAGCCAGACUGAAAAAAACAACCUUUGCCUGCAAAUCCACGAUUUAAGAGUUAUAUUUAGUAUUUUUGCAGUCAGUGAAUGUGCCGCCACAUGUUUGAAUGAUUGGAACUUCAAAAACCAGUAACUUGUUUUUGCCAAAGCAAAGGAUUGAAUAUUUCCUUGGUGGAUUUUUGGGAACUGAUCAUGCACCCACAAGAAAUCUCCAUCAAGCAUGAAGUUGUCUUAUUCGAAGGUUGACCCUUGGUGCAUGGGGUCAUUCAAUAAGGUUAAUAAAUUGUCUGGAGGGAGCAGUAAAUGAUAACAUAUAGCCGUGUGCUUGGAAAUAUUCGAAGUCUUCCCAAUGGGGAAGACUCUAGGAUCCAAUACAAUCCUGGUUUUCUUGAUUUAUAUCUAAUGCUUGUGGUUGUAUUAUUUGUGUCAUUGACUCCUGAAGUCUUUUGGAAGUAUACUUGGAUGUGGCAUUCAUCAGUAGUUAAAAUCAUUGUUUUCAGGGCCCCUACGCCAAGCUCCCAAGCAACAGCAAGGUGAAGAGAAAGAGCAUGAACCCAGAUCUAGCUGGAGGGAUGGCAGACGGGGCUGUGUCGUUUCUUCUUCAAAAACUUGAAGCUUUUGCAAGUACAGAAUGGAACUUGCAGGAAAAUAUCAGGAAUGGAGUCCGUGAGUUACAAAGGGAGCUGUGGAGAAUAGAAGCCAUGAUGAGAGAUGCUGAUGCAAAGAAAGAUUAUGAUAACCAAUUCAACGUGUGGAUUCAAGAAGUUCGCACAGAAGCUUAUGCCAUUGAGGAUGUUCUUGACCUGUUCAGACUCCACUGGGAUCAAGAAUCAGUGUGGCGCCACUUGAAAAUGUGGCACUCCAUUAGCAACCUGAUACAGGAUAUUAACACAAGGCUCGCGAUCAUUAAGCAGACAAAGGAGAGGUACCAGAUCAUUAAGGAGAUAAAUGAGAGGUAUCCGAUGAUGGUCCCCACCAAUUCAGUUAGUUCGGAAACCAACACAUACCAUAAUGUGAGAGCAGCUCCUUUGAUCCUCGGCUGGGGCAAUAACACCAUGGGCAUUGAUGAGCCUAAAAGGAAGCUGGUUUCUUGGGCAUCAAAGUCGAAUCAGAAACUCAAGGUUAUGUUCCUAGUGGGGAUGGCUGGGUUGGGCAAGACAACGCUUGCCUACCGCGUGUACGAGGAGGUGAAGGAGCACUUUGAUUGCCAUGCCUGGAUCAUUGCUUCAAAGUACCAAACCAUAGAUGAAACCUUACGGAGCUUGUUGGAGGAACUUGGCUCUUCAACAGAGGGGUCCGGCAUAGUUCUUCUCAUGCAGAGACUGCACAAUUUUCUCCAGCACAAACGGUAUGUUAUAGUUGUUGACAAUUUAUUGGUAAAAGAUGUGUGGGAAUCCAUUAGACUUGCCUUGCCAGAUGGUAACGACAAUAGAAUAAUUAUCACUACAAGAAGAGGCGAUAUAGCUAAUUCUUGCAGAGAUGAUUCUAUUGAUAUCCACAAGGUUCAGCCACUGUCACUGCAAUGGGCUGAGCAACUCUUCUAUAAGAAAGCUUUCUUAGGAGAUGGCAGCUGUCCUUCAGGCUUGGAGGAAGUCUCGAAAUCCAUCUUACAGAAAUGUGAUGGAUUACCACUUGGGAUUAUUGAAAUCGGUAGGGUCUUGCGGAGUAAGCCUCGUCAAACUAAAUACGAGUGGAAAAAAUUACAUGAUAGCCUUGAGUCUGAAUUGAGAAGCGGUGGUGCCCUUUCAGAUAUUAUGAGAGUGUUUUCUGCAAGUUACAAGGAUUUACCUUACCAUCUCAAGUAUUGCUUCUUAUACAUGAGUAUUUUUCCUGAGAAUAAUCCAGUUAAGCGAAGAAGACUGAUUCGGCUAUGGAUAGCUGAGGGAUUUGUAACAGAGGAGAGAGGCAAGACUCUUGAAGAGGUGGGGGAAGAGUACCUGAAUGAGCUUAUUGGCAGGAGUCUGAUAAAGGCAAAUGAAAUGGACUUUGAUGGAAGGCCAAUAACUGUUGGAGUCCAUAGUCUCAUGCAUAGGAUAAUUCUCUCAGUUUCACAAGAGGAGAACUUCUGUACUGUUUGUGCAGGACCAGAAGGAAACUUGACUGACAAACCCCGGCGCCUAUCCAUCCAGACGGGAAACUUUGAUGUGUCUCAGGACUUAACCUGUGUUCGAACUUUUUUCAGUUUCAGUACAGGUAGGAUAAACAUUGGUUCGAAUUUCAAACUAUUGAAGGUUUUGGACAUACAAAGCACUCCUUUGGGAAACUUUCCAAGUGCCAUUACAGAUCUUGUGCUCUUGAGGUACUUGAGUUUGAGGAAUACAAAUAUAAGGAGCAUCCCCAAAUCCCUCAGGAACCUACGGCACCUUGAGACCUUGGAUCUUAAGCAGACUUUGGUAACAAAGGUACCCAAAGCAGUCCUACAAUUGGAGAAACUUCGCCAUCUGCUGGUUUAUUGCUACAAUAUGGAAAGUGCACCUUUUGAUAUUGUUCAGGGGUUCAAGGCACCAAAGGGGAUCGACGCAUUGAAGAAC